rnacentral:rRNA from 1 species
AGUGAACGCUGGCGGUAGGCCUAACACAUGCAAGUCGAACGGCAGCACAGUAAGAGCUUGCUCUUACGGGUGGCGAGUGGCGGACGGGUGAGGAAUACAUCGGAAUCUACUUUUUCGUGGGGGAUAACGUAGGGAAACUUACGCUAAUACCGCAUACGACCUACGGGUGAAAGCAGGGGAUCUUCGGACCUUGCGCGAUUGAAUGAGCCGAUGUCGGAUUAGCUAGUUGGCGGGGUAAAGGCCCACCAAGGCGACGAUCCGUAGCUGGUCUGAGAGGAUAAUCAGCCACACUGGAACUGAGACACGGUCCAGGCUCCUACGGGAGGCAGCAGUGGGGAAUAUUGGACAAUGGGCGCAAGCCUGAUCCAGCCAUACCGCGUGGGUGAAGAAGGCCUUCGGGUUGUAAAGACCUUUUGUUGGGAAAGAAAAGCAGCAGGUUAAUACCCCGCUGUUCUGACGGUACCCAAAGAAUAAGCACCGGCUAACUUCGUG